rnacentral:lncRNA from 1 species
GGCUCCUCCCCACGGGCCCCGGCGGGGCGGGAGGCGGGAAACGGCCGCCUUCACCCUGGCCUUCCCGGGAUCCCACAACCCCGCCGCAGCAGUCUGCUCCCCGCUCACCUGUCAAUCCUCCUUCAGAGCUGACGGUCCGGGGUGGCCCCGAAUCCUGGCUGCGCGUCUCAGGGAGCCAGCGCGUCUCAGGGAGACUCGCUUAGCCCCGCCGCGCAGAGGGCAAAUUUUUGGUGAAUCUUUUGGAGAGGAAAAUAUGUUCAAAGAGAUACUGGACCACAAAAGAGAUCACAGGAUUUGCUUCAAAUCAACGGAAACGGCGAGAUCAUGAUGGCAACCUCAUGUCCCUGUCUCACUGCGAAAGAGACAGAACAUCCCACCUUGUGUAAAACAUGGCUUGGUUCUCUCAGCUUUGCCAAACAGGAGCGGCAUUCUACUAUCAACGUCGGCUUUGUACCUGGCACAAGUCUGUGGGGACAUACUAGAAAGGCUCUCAGGUGCUUAGGACUCUUUGGUCAACACUCAUAUGUUGAAACCCACGUGUUGGUUCUCAAACCAUAAAGACUGUGGCUCAUUACAAGGAAGUUUAAAAGUACUGAGCGAAAGGAAACCACACAAACACCAAAGAACAAAGCGAAACAAGACAAAAUUCUCCUGCCUGAAGUUUUCUCUGACUGUGUGUAUACAGAGUAUAUUUCUAAAAACAUAAGGAAUUAAAAGAAGAGGCUCCUGGAAAAGCCGUUAAAAUGUUCUCCAAAUAGCCAACUUCUAUAACUGCAGCCACAUUUGCAGCUCAAAGAUGCCCAAGCCCAUCAUGGUAGAAGAUGGCUGCAGGAGCUGAAGGCAGCUGGUCUUACUGCAUCUGCAGUUAGGAGGCAGAGAGAUGACUGGUACUCAGCUCACUUUCUUCUUUGUAUUCAGUCUUGGAACUCCAGCCUGUGGGCCGGUGUUGCCUGUAUUCUGGAUGAGUCCUCCCACCCUAGUUAAAGCUCUUUGGAAACACCCA